rnacentral:rRNA from 1 species
UCGGACUUAGCGGCGGACGGGUGAGUAACGCGUGGGAACAUACCCUUUGGUACGGGAUAGCCCGGGGAAACUCGGAUUAAUACCGCAUACGCCCCAAGGGGGAAAGCAGGGGAUCUUCGGACCUUGCACUAUUGGAUGAGCCUGCGUUGGAUUAGCUAGUUGGUAGGGUAAAGGCCUACCAAGGCGACGAUCCAUAACUGGUCUGAGAGGAUGAUCAGUCACACUGGAACUGAGACACGGUCCAGACUCC